rnacentral:rRNA from 1 species
UACGGAGGGCGCAAGCGUUAAUCGGAAUCACUGGGCGUAAAGCGCGCGUAGGCGGCAUGGUAAGUCGGAUGUGAAAGCCCGAGGCCCAACCUCGGAAAUGCAUUCGAAACUGCCUCGCUCGAGUUCCGGAGAGGGUGGUGGAAUUCCCGGUGUAGAGGUGAAAUGCGUAGAUAUCGGGAGGAACACCAGUGGCGAAGGCGGCCACCUGGACGGAGACUGACGCUGAGAUGCGAAAGCGUGGGGAGCAAACAGG